UUCGGACCACGUGCGAAAUGCAUCUAUGCAAACCCACCCUGUGUACCUUACCAAGUAACCAAACACACCGAGCAACUGGGGCAAGAGAUUGCCACACGUUGCGAGCGAGCUGUUGUCACAUAAACUCUUAAACCAUUGUCUGUCUGAACAUUUGAUUUUAAUUGAAUAUUAAAACUUUCAACAACGGAUCUCUUGGUUCUCGCAUCGAUGAAGAACGCAGCGAAAUGCGAUAAGUAGUGUGAAUUGCAGAAUUCAGUGAAUCAUCGAAUCUUUGAACGCACAUUGCGCCCCCUGGCAUUCCGGGAGGCAUGCCUGUUCGAGCGUCGUCAAGACAAAAAUUCGGGUCCUUUUUUCUUUGGACCUGGUAUUGGUGGAGGAGGGGCGCCUUCGGGCACCCUCCCCGCACAAAUCCAUCGGCGGGAGAGUCGGGACAGUCGGUGGCGUAGUAAAUUCUAUCGCCGCGGUUGUCUGCAGCCCUAGCCGUAUCAACCAACCCCCAUUAUAA
rnacentral:rRNA from 1 species